rnacentral:misc_RNA from 1 species
CAGAGUCGUAAAAAACUCCCAAACCCUUUGUAAAUCUACCUUAGAUAUAUAGUUGCUUCGGCAGGCGGUUCCAGGGCGGGACCGUGGCCGCGAGGUGCCUGCCGAAGAAACGUUACAAACUCUUGUUUCAGUGGUCUUCAGAGUAUCAAACAAAAAUAAGUCA